UACAGAGGGUGCGAACGUUGUUCGGAAUUACUGGGCGUAAAGCGCGUGUAGGCUGUUCGGAAAGUCGGGUGUGAAAGCCCUGGGCUCAACCUAGGAAGUGCACUCGAAACUCCCGAACUGGAGUCCUGGAGAGGAAGGCGGAAUUCUCGGUGUAGAGGUGAAAUUCGUAGAUAUCGAGAGGAACACCGGUGGCGAAGGCGGCCUUCUGGACAGUGACUGACGCUGAGACGCGAAAGCGUGGGGAGCAAACAGG
rnacentral:rRNA from 1 species